rnacentral:rRNA from 1 species
AUUGAACGCUGGCGGCAUGCUUUACACAUGCAAGUCGACGGUAACAGGCCGCAAGGUGCUGACGAGUGGCGAACGGGUGAGUAAUGCAACGGAACGUGCCCAGUUGUGGGGGAUAACGGAGCGAAAGCUGUGCUAAUACCGCAUACGAACUAUGGAUGAAAGCGGGGGACCGUAAGGCCCCCGCGCAUUGGAGCGGGCGAUGUCAGAUUAGGUAGUUGGUGGGGUAAAGGCCCACCAAGCCAACGAUCUGUAGCUGGUCUGAGAGGACGACCAGCCACACUGGGACUGAGACACGGCCCAGACUCCUACGGGAGGCAGCAGUGGGGAAUUUUGGACAAUGGGCGCAAGCCUGAUCCAGCAAUGCCGCGUGCAGGAAGAAGGCCUUCGGGUUGUAAACUGCUUUUGUACGGAACGAAACGGUCUGGGUUAAUACCCUGGGCUAAUGACGGUACCGUAAGAAUAAGCACCGGCUAACUACGUGCCAGCCGCCGCAGUAAGAC